ACGGGUGAGUAACGCGUGAGAAUUUUCCUUUUAGUGAAGAAUACCUUUGGGAAACUAAAGUUAAUACUGCAUACGUCUCGAAAGAGAGAAAGAUGGCCUAAUUGCUGUCGCUAAAAGAUAAGCUUGCGUUCUAUUAGCUAGUUGGUGAGGUAAUGGCUCACCAAGGCGAUGAUGGAUAGCCGGCCUGAGAGGGCGAACGGCCACAUUGGAACUUAGACACGGUCCAAACUCCUACGGGAGGCAGCAGUGAGGAAUAUUGCACAAUGGGCGAAAGCCUGAUGCAGCGACGCCGCGUGGAGGAUGACGGUCUUCGGAUUGUAAACUCCUGUUAAGUGUGAAAAAAGACUCGUUUUUAAUAGAAAUGAGGGAUGAUGGUAACACUAGAGAAAGCACCGGCUAACUUCGUGCCAGCAGCCGCGGUAAUACGAGGGGUGCAAACGUUAUUCGGAAUCACUGGGCGUAAAGGGUGCGUAGACGGCGAAAUAAGUCGAUCAUUAAAUCUCCUGGCUUAACUAGGAGCUCGUGAUCGAAACUGAUUCGCUUGAGGAUGGAAGAGAGAAGUGGAAUUCUCGGA
rnacentral:rRNA from 1 species